rnacentral:rRNA from 1 species
GAUUCUGGCUCAGGAUGAACGCUGGCGGCGUGCUUAACACAUGCAAGUCGAACGGGAACUCUAGACUGAAGGUUCGCUGGAUGUUUAGAAAUUUUAGUGGCGGACGGGUGAGUAACGCGUGGGAAACCUGCCCUAUACAGGGGGAUAGCCUCGGGAAACCGGGAUUAAUACCCCAUAAAGCUCUAGAAUCGCAUGAUUCAAGGGUCAAAACUCCGGUGGUAUAGGAUGGUCCCGCGUCCCAUUAGCUAGUUGGUGAGGUAACGGCCCACCAAGGCGACGAUGGGUAGCCGGCCUGAGAAAGUGAACGGCCACACUGGAACUGAGACACGGUCCAGACUCCUACGGGAGGCAGCAGUGGGGAAUAUUGCACAAAUGGGGGAAACCCUGAUGCAGCGACGCCGCGUGAGCGAAGAAGGCCUUCGGGUCGUAAAGCUCUGUCCUAAGGGAAGAAAAGACGGUACCUUAGGAGGAAGCCCCGGCUAACUACGUGCCAGCCGCAGC